rnacentral:misc_RNA from 1 species
UCCUCGUCAUCGCUGGAAGAACUCCCAUUUCUCCGAAAUCUCCUCAGUUUAGGAGAAGAGUAGCCCCUAUUAUUUGAACUUCUCUGCGCCGAAUAAUCCCUUGUUUUUGUGUAAUUAUAAGACUUGCUAAAAUUUUCGCAAUCCUGCGAUACAUUACGUGCCUCUGAUAUCAGUUUCCUCAAAUCAAUAGGCGAAUUGAUCGAUCCCGGCUGUUGAUUCGGCCCAAUUGGCCUUGGCUUUUCAAUUGAAUUCUCCAACGGAGGUUUCAACGGGCCGUCGUUUUCAUUCCAUAAGUCUUCAGCUCCUUCUUUCAUGAAACGCUCCGCGAGGGCUUUGAUGUGGUCCUUUGGGGUCAUGGGGCUGUAAAAAGUGGUGUUCGUAUCCGGGCCGGAAUCCUGCUCAGAUUUUCCCGCGAGUCUGGCUCGGAGUUGGGAGCGGACUCGGGCUUGGUAUAGUUGUUUCUCUUGCUCGAGUAGUCUUUUUUCUUUCUCUCUAGCUCUUUUCUCGUGGAGGCGUUUCCACUGCCAUUUGUUUAGGCCACCAGGGAAGGUCCGCGGACCUCCACCCAUGAGCCG